GAUCCUGGCUCAGGAUGAACGCUAGCUACAGGCUUAACACAUGCAAGUCGAGGGGCAUCAUGAGGUAGCAAUACCUUGAUGGCGACUGGCGCACGGGUGAGUAACGCGUAUGCAACCUGCCCGAUACCGGGGUAUAGCCCAUGGAAACGUGGAUUAACACCCCAUAGUACUUUUAUCCUGCCUGGGAUGGGAGUUAAAUGUUCAAGGUAUCGGAUGGGCAUGCGUCCUAUUAGUUAGUUGGG
rnacentral:rRNA from 1 species